CUAGGUAUCCCCCCUUUCCCUGUCCAACUGACUAGGUAUCGCCCCUUUCCCUUUCCAACUGACUAGGUAUCCCCCCCUUUCCAACUGACUAGGUAUCCCCCCUUUCCCUUUCCAACUGAAUAGGUAUCCCCCCCUUUCCAACUGACUAGGUAUCCCCCCUUUCCAACUGACUAGGUAUCCCCCCUUUCCAACUGAAUAGGUAUCCCCCUUUCCAACUGACUAGAUAUCCCCCCUUUCCAACUGACUAGGUAUCCCCCGUUUCCAACUGACUAGGUAUCCCCCCCUUUCCAACUGACUAGGUAUCCCUCCUUUCCAACUGACUAGGUAUCCCCCCUUUCCAACUGACUAGUUAUCCCCCCUUUACAACUGACGAGGUAUCCCCCUUUCCCUUUCCAACUGACUAGGUAUCCCCCUUUCCCUUUCCAACUGACUAGGUAUCCCCCCUCUCCCUUUCCAACUGACUAGGUAUCCCGCCAUUCCAACUGACUAGGUAUCCCCCCUUUCCAACUGACUAGGUAUCCCCCCUUUCCAACUGACUAGGUAUCCCCCCUUUCCAACUGACUAGGUAUCCCCCCUUUCCAACUGACUAGGUAUCCCCCCCUUUCCAACUGACUAGGUAUCCCCCUUUCCCUGUCCAACUGACUAGGUAUCCCCCCUUUCCCUGUCCAACUGACUAGGUAUCCCCCCUUUCCCUGUCCAACUGACUAGGUAUCCCCCUUUUCCCUGUCCAACUGACUAGGUACCCCCCUUUCCCUGUCCAACUGACUAGGUACCCCCCUUUCCCUGUCCAACUGACUAGGUAUCCCCCCUUUCCAACUGACUUGGUAUCCCCCUUUCCAACUGACUUGUUAUCCCCCUUUCCAACUGACUAGGUAUCCUCCUUUCCAACUGACUAGGUACCCCCCUUUCCCUGUCCAACUGACUAGGUAUCCCCCCUUUCCCUGUCCAACUGACUAGGUAUCCCCCCUUUCCAACUGACUAGGUAUCCCCCUGUCCAACUGACUAGGUAUCCCCCCCUGUCCAACUGACUAGGUAUCCCCCCUUUCCCUGUCCAACUGACUAGGUAUCGCCCCUUUCCCUUUCCAACUGACUAGGUAUCCCCCCCUUUCCAACUGACUAGGUAUCCCCCCUUUCCCUUUCCAACUGAAUAGGUAUCCCCCCCUUUCCAACUGACUAGGUAUCCCCCUUUCCC
rnacentral:lncRNA from 1 species